rnacentral:lncRNA from 1 species
GAUCACUUGAGGUGAGGAGUUCAAGACCAGCCUGGCCAACAUGGUGAAACCCCAUCUCUACUAAAAAUACAAAAAUUAGCCAGGCAUGGUGGUACAUGCCUAUAAUCCCAGCUACUCGGGAGGCUGAGGCAGGAGAAUCACUUGAACCUGGGAGACGGAGGUUGCAGUGAGCUGAGAUCAUGCCACUGUACUCCAGCCUGGGCGACAGAGACUCCAUCUCAAAGGAAAAAAGAAAAAAAAAAAA